rnacentral:rRNA from 1 species
UACAGAGGGUGCAAGCGUUGCUCGGAAUUAUUGGGCGUAAAGGGUAGGUAGGUGGUCUUAUGAGUCUGAGGUGAAAGCCUUGAGCUUAACUCGAGAAGUGCCUCAGAAACGGUAAGACUAGAGUUCUGGAGAGGGUCGUGGAAUUCCCGGUGUAGCGGUGAAAUGCGUAGAGAUCGGGAGGAACACCAGAGGCGUAAGCGGCGACCUGGACAGAAACUGACACUCAACUACGAAAGCGUGGGGAGCAAACAGG